AGUGAACGCUGGCGGUAGGCCUAACACAUGCAAGUCGAACGGCAGCACAGUAAGAGCUUGCUCUUACGGGUGGCGAGUGGCGGACGGGUGAGGAAUACAUCGGAAUCUACUUUUUCGUGGGGGAUAACGUAGGGAAACUUACGCUAAUACCGCAUACGACCUACGGGUGAAAGCAGGGGAUCUUCCGACCUUGCGCGAUUGAAUGCGCCGAUGUCGGAUUAGCUAGUUGGCGGGGUAAAGGCCCACCAAGGCGACGAUCCGUAGCUGGUCUGAGAGGAUGCUCAGCCACACUGGAACUGAGACACGGUCCAGACUCCUACGGGAGGCAGCAGUGGGGAAUAUUGGACAAUGGGCGCAAGCCUGAUCCAGCCAUACCGCGUGGGUGAAGAAGGCCUUCGGGUUGUAAAGCCCUUUUGUUGGGAAAGAAAAGCAGCAGGUUAAUACCCCGCUGUUCUGACGGUACCCAAAGAAUAAGCACCGGCUAACUUCGUG
rnacentral:rRNA from 1 species